UACGUAGGGUGCAAGCGUUGUCCGGAAUUAUUGGGCGUAAAGAGCUCGUAGGCGGCUUGUCACGUCGGGUGUGAAAGCCCGGGGCUUAACCCCGGGUCUGCAUUCGAUACGGGCUAGCUAGAGUGUGGUAGGGGAGAUCGGAAUUCCUGGUGUAGCGGUGAAAUGCGCAGAUAUCAGGAGGAACACCGGUGGCGAAGGCGGCUCACUGGCCCGGUACUGACGCUGAGGUGCGAAAGCGUGGGGAGCAAACAGG
rnacentral:rRNA from 1 species